UACGUAGGGACCGAGCGUUGUCCGGAUUCAUUGGGCGUAAAGGGCGCGUAGGCGGUUUGACAAGUCUGAUGUGAAAUCUCUGGGCUCAACCCAGAGUCUGCAUUAGAAACUGUCGGGCUUGAGUAUGGGAGAGGUGAGUGGAAUUUCCGGUGUAGCGGUGAAAUGCGUAGAUAUCGGAAGGAACACCUGUGGCGAAAGCGGCUCACUGGACCAUAACUGACGCUGAGGCGCGAAAGCUAGGGGAGCGAACGGG
rnacentral:rRNA from 1 species